GAGUUCAAGGAGCACAACCAAUUCAUUGCAAAGUGUAGACCAUCAAUCUAAUUCUAAAAAAUAUAGUGGUUGGCAUGAUUUCACCUCAUUUGUCUCAUCCAAAACAAGCACCAGGCCUACAAAAUCAGAUUUAGACAACUACUUGGAAAAUGGCUUAGAACUUUGUAGUGAAGGACAUAAGUUUGAUGUGAUAGCAUGGUGGAAAAACAAUCAAGCCAAAUACCGCAUACUUUCGAGAAUGGCAGUGGAUAUUUUAUCCAUCCCUGUUAGUACAGUUGCUUCAGAAUCCACUUUCAGUGCUGGAGAAAGAGUAGUUGAUAAAUACCGAUCAAAAUUAGGGGUUGACACUAUGCAAGCUCUCCUUUGUGGCUCCAACUGGGUUCGCUGCCACUAUGGCUUGAAGGGAAGGGUUAAGGAGGAGGAAGAUGAUGAAGAGGUGGAGAUUGUCCUACCGAUUACAUGAGAAAAUUUGAGGUUUGCUGCAUACUAUUUUGUACUAAAGAGUAGAGAUGGAAGAGUUUGAAGCAUUUGGAUUAUCAGAUAGAAAAAGGAAAAAUAGUUCUACCUUUUGUUGAGUUUUAAUUUUUAUUAUAUCUUGAAACUUCUU